UGGAAUGUCGUCAAGCCUGUGCAAGUUGUAAAUGCUACUGCUCUAGAGUUCUUUCUAGACUGAGCUCCUGGUUGUUGCACUUUGGCUGAUGUUACUGCUUGGAGGUGUGCACGGUGCUGCAGAAGCCUGCCUGGCUGUCCCCUGGAUUUCUGGAGAUGUGACGGGUAUUUCAGUGGCUUCCCCUGCUGCUCUCCGGUACUGUGUGAUGUUCAGGAGCCGCUCCAAGUGCAUAUUUGCUGUCUUGAUGAAGGUUGUCAUUUUACAAGGUGUAGGGUGCGUUGCAAGAUGGGAGAUGGUAAAUUCAGAAGAGCCAAAACCUGAACCAACAGCCAGGCUGACCCCCUUAACCAGGACCUCUCCAAGAUGAAAUUCGGCAGCAAGAGAGCAUGUCGUGGCUCCCCCACUUCUGGCCUUCGUCUGCUGCCACUGUCUGAUACAGCUGUGCCCGAGCCAGAGAAGUCAUCCCAUCCUCAGAGGGAUGGCUUCUGCGGUUGAAACCUGGGGUCAGUGUAAAGACAACUGAAGCACAACUGCGCUUCAGGACCUCUGCAAUAAGCAGCCAUGCCCCAUGUCGGUGACCAGGUUAGAUCGGUGCGACAAGGAAACCUCAGACCUGUCUGGCAGCUUUAAACCUCUGCUCCCGAUGUGCCUGUCCGCCACCUGACAGCUCCUGUGUGACCUGGGCCCACGUUCAGACUGGUGAUCCAGUUUCUUGCAGAUGACUGAUAAUGGGAUUAGUGCCUCCUCCACCCGGAACAGGACAAUUGGAACCACAUCAGUCGCUUCGUCCUUAAUGAAAGAAAUGCUUGUCACCGGUUGACAUGUUUGCUUCUGUAAGGCUGAGCUAUUUAUCUGUGCGGGGUCCUCCAGCUGAUAAAGUACUGCCACAUCAUAUGAAACCCACACAAGCAUAAAUCAAAAGGACAAGGUGUACAGCGGCGGGAAUGCCUUUGAACAGCCAAAGUGGAUGUUUCCAAUAGGCUUCUUGCACAACAGAUUACACUUUAGGCUGAUGCGAUUGCUGCAAGUAAACUGUCACUUUUUCCCUGCUCCCUGGGAAAUGCUUUCCUCUGACGUACGCGGUGUUUUACCUGGUGAUGGCGUGGAAUCUCAGAUAUUCUUUAUGUUUGACUGUCCAUGCACAGCCUGGGUUUGAAGCUGUCUGAAGUUUGGAGUGUUUCUGUUAACUUCAGUCUUCAUACCCAGCCCUUAAUUCGUGCUGGGCUGGCAGGAUGCAUGGGGGGAGUGCCUGGGGUGAGGGCAGGACUUGGGGAUGUCCCUGAAGUUUGUAUACUUUACACUAAGUUUGCUGUGGGCAGAAAGGCUUUUGGGGUGUGAUGCUUAAAAGGAUCUUUGAAUAGUUGUGC